UUUGUUGUAGGUUUAAGCAUGCUUAAAGUGGACAUGAGGAGGUUUGCUUGGACUUGACAUAGCUGGCAUGAAGCAACUUGAGAAGAUGGAAGAGUGAAGAUCAAAGUGAAGUUGAAGUGGGAUAGGUUUAGAGUCAGUGUUAGGGGUAGGGUAGGUAGUUGACUUUGGUCAAAUGUUUGACCAAAAAGUCAAUAGUUAACCAAAAAUCAACAAUAUGUCAAACUUAGUUUUUAGUUUUUUUCUUGUAAUUUUUCAAUUUGGAUGGUUGUAAUGUGAUUUGAUGCUUAUGUAAUGAAAAACGGCCUUUUGAAUGAAUCAUGUAACGUAUGCUUCAAGUAA
rnacentral:lncRNA from 1 species